GCAUAUCAAUAUGCUAGCGUCAACUUCAGUAGUAUUGUAAUGAAACAGCAGGGAGCAGGUCUCGAACCCUCGACAUUCGAGCCCGAUGCCCGGCGUGCCAUCGACUGUGCCGCAAAAGCAUGCUCGUGCGGCAGGGUCGAUUUCCCUGUUAUAAACCCAUUGCCGUUACACUACUCCCUCCUUUCAAAGAGCGCGUCCUCGCGCUAGCUUGCGACUCUACGUCUUACAGGAACGCGCUCACCGGUCAAGCACACGCACUGUCGUCGAUGCGAGGUCCGAUCACUUCUGACACCAGUGUAAUGAAACCAGCAGGGAGCAGGCCUAGAAUCCUCGACCUUCAAGCCGGAGGUCCGGCGCGCUAUCGACUGUGCCGCAAAAGCAUGCUCGUGCGGCAGGGUCGAUUUCCGCGCUUAUAAACCCAGGGUCGUUACAGUAUGUUAGUAACCACAACAGGUAGCCCUACCCAGCAUUAGGAAGAUGAUGCAUUGACACCCUGGAAAGAUAAGUAUGCAGGUGCACUCAUUCAAACACUUUUUUUUGUGUGUGAUAAAUUGCCGUAUUGUCUUCAAAAGCUGGAUAAAUUAAGCAAAUGCAUGUAUUAUUCUCAUAAAUGUAGUCAAUACUAAAUUCAUGCUUUGUAACAAUAAGACCUUUUCAUUGCUUUAAACUACCUUAGUAACUAGCUCUUCUAGGUCACGUGUUCUUUCUUUCUAGAAGCAAUCCGUUUAUCAGGCAAAGAGACAGAUUGAGGCCUUCAAUCAAACGGAGGACUGAGAAAUAUGCAUGCACCAGCCUUAUACACCUGAGUCAGAAAGAAGUGACAACUAGUAGAAAAGUGGCUCUUGAUGAUGAAGUCCCCAGUCCAGAUUGAAGAUCCGAGUUUUAAUCCAUUGUAUUGAGGCUUGACUGGAGGAAAUCAUUUUUGUGGCUCUCUAGAAACACACAUUUUGGAGGUAGGCUUAAUAAGUCCCAGUAUGCUAGCUACAUUGUUUGUUCAUAUAGCAUUUAUACAAGGCAGAUUGUUUCCUUUCUGAAAAAUAGGUAUAAUGCCAGUUUCAGUGAGAAGCGUAGCAACAUCCCACUGGGCAAAAACUGGUUGUAUCAACAUUGUUUCCACGUCAUUUCGACCCCCAAAAAAUCUAUGUGAUGACUUUGAAUCAACGUGGAAAACUGAUUGGAUUUGCAAAAACUCAUCAAGUAAGGGAAUUUCACUUUUUAAUUUUUUUUUUAUAACCCAACUUUGAACCUAAAUCCAAUGACAUGGUAAAUGUUUGUUUUUUUUGGGGGGUGGGGAUUUCACAUUGAAUAAACAUUUUGUUUAUAACUCAUGCAAAUGUGAAUCAAAACUAGAUGUUGAACUGACGACUGUACCCGGUGGGAUGCAGCCUAACCCCAUUGUUCUUAUCCUGCCCAUUAGCUGCUGAGUCAAAUUAAAAAAAAAAUGUUUUCAGUAGGCCUAUCUUAAUGUUUUGUGUUUUCUGAUUGUUUCAGUGCAUGCAUUAAGCAAGCGUUCGACAGGAUUUCUACAGGGCUGUCAGGUAGGCUAGCGGUUAAGAGCAUUGGGCCAGUAACCAAAAUGUCGCUGGUUCAAAUCCCGAGCUGAGUAAAUGAAAUAUGUGAGCAAUGUGCUUAACCCUAAUGGUUCCUGUAAAUUGAUCUGGAUUAGCGCAUCUGCUAAAUGACAAAAAUGUAAAGUUCAGUCAGAGGCUAUACUUCUUCCAUUGGUUGAAUGCUCAUGUAAAUUCUGAAGUUGCCCCUUGAGAACUCCUGGAUAUUUCUCUCAUGUAAAUGUUGUAGUUUUUGCUCUUUUCUUCAUUAACACUGCAUUAUGUUUUUAUUGUGAGAUAGUUAAGAACGUUGUAUUGGAUUUUAUGUGUUUUAUGUGUUAAGACAUUGAAUACAUUUUGUUUAGUAUGUUUAGUUCUCUGUGAGAAGCAAGUACAUUUAAAGUUAUUUGUGAUUUGGUUGAUGUCGAUAAAACAUUUUGAUGUUGUUUAAUACACUACAUUUGCAGCAAACAGUAGAAUGUUCGCCACAAGUUUCUCAGAGUAGUUUGCCAGAACAUCACAAGUUGGCCCAAAUGUGCGCA
ensembl:lncRNA